GUAAUUUGAAUUUUGUAGGUAGGAUCUUAACAACACACCAUGUGACCAAAGGAUCUUUCAGAUGUGUUUUAAAGACUGAUCCCUCUCUUUCUUCUCCCUCAAGAUGUGCUUUUGGUAAGACAAUUGAGAUGGUAAGAUCAAGAAGAAAGUCUACUACAAGUGUGCAGAAAUUGUGCUGACUGCAAAAUGUUGUUGAAUUAACUUCAUGGCAGCCAUGAGCAUAUUCAACAGGAGAAAGACUGGAAGGUUAAGUUCAGCCACACAUUUACUAUACC
rnacentral:lncRNA from 11 species